GCGGCGACGAGUGUAACAGCCCGACAAACAACCCUUUUCCUUUUAAGCCGUUUUGGACUGUUUUGUAAUUUAAAUUGUUGUCAUCAUCUGUCAUGCUCAUGUCAUCAUAAUUAUUUUGCCAUGUUAUUAGCAUCAUGUUGCACGAAAUAAUUAUUAGUUGCACGAAAUGUCACCUCUUUUGUGUUAUCAUGUGCUUGUCUUUUUGUUGUGUUCGUGAAAGCCUAAAAUUAUUUUUGUACAAAUCCUAUUUUGGUUUGACAAAUUAAUUCGCGUUUAAUGAAACCUAGCUUUUGCAAAAAAACUAAAUUUGCAAAACCUGUAUUUUGUUUGAGACUUUUGUUGGCCCAAAAGCCCACUAAGGCAAACCGUAACCCUAGCUAUUUAAUCCCCUCCUCUCUUUUUCUUUUUCUUCCUUUCUUUUUCUUUCUUACCUGGCCGUCGCCUCCCAUCUUCCUCCCCGAUCCCCUUUCUCUUCUGGCUUCUUCCUCCCGGAAAUUUCAAACUUCUACAUGUGCAUUGCAUCCAUGAGCAUCAUGCCACAAUUGCAUACUUGAAUUCAAAUUUGAAUCUCAAAAGGCUUUAAAAGACUUUGUUUACACCCAUUUAAGCUUUGGAUCUUCAAACCAAUAGGGUUUAUUUAUAAAAGGGGCUUAUUGCAUAUAUAAGCUAUCCCACAAUUUUUUGAUAAUUAUUUGGAGUUGAAAACGUAUUUUAUUUAAAUAGAUAUAUAGCCCUAAAGGCAUUUAUAGGGCAAAUGUAUUUUUAUAUAUUUUAUUUUGAGGGGAAACUACUCCCAAAUUGAAUCAUGGCAAUCUCCACGCCCGGCGAUUCCGACCUUCCCAGAACGCCCAAAGUGCGUCCCUAUAAAGCCUAGCUCCCCCUCUCUUCUUCCCCUCUCUUGCUCGCCCGAAUCGCGUGCCCACGCCGCCCAAUUCGUCGCCGGAGUUCGCCCACGCCGCCACCGUUCUCCUUCGUCGCUUGUGAACCCUAAGGGUAAGCACUGCCAUUUUCUUUCCCCUCUUUCACUACUCGUCCUCGCACUUCGUUUGACGCGUGCCGUUUCUUCUUCCGUGCACAGUAGCACCGCCCUCGUCGCG
rnacentral:lncRNA from 1 species